rnacentral:rRNA from 1 species
UACGUAGGGUGCAAGCGUUGUCCGGAAUUAUUGGGCGUAAAGCGCGUGUAGGCGGCUUUGCAAGUCGGAUGUGAAAGCCCUCGGCUCAACUGAGGAAGUGCACCCGAAACUGGCGAGCUUGAGUACGAAAGAGGAUCGCGGAAUUCCCGGUGUAGAGGUGAAAUUCGUAGAUAUCGGGAGGAACACCGGUGGCGAAGGCGGCGAUCUGGGUCGAUACUGACGCUGAGGUGCGAAAGCGUGGGAGCAACAGG